CCUCCCCCUCCCCCCCGACUCAGAGAACACCGCAGGGUGUCAGUGCGGAGAAACCGGUUCAAGUUGACGCGGGCUGAGAACGGGGCGCGAAGGCAGGAGCAACGCCUAGCGACCCUCUCCUCCCCACGCCGCCACCGACGUCCUUUGCCCCCAGGAGGCUGGAGAGGGGGCGCGCACCUCCACCUACGCGCUCGGCUGCGCGCCGCUCCCAACGCCUGCCUGCUGCGCUCAAGGUCCAGGAGACGCCAGCCCGCGCGGCGGAGGAGCCCGCAGCCCCCCAACCCCCGGGCCGGCGGCGCCUUGCGGGGAGAGCCGCCACGUUCCCCGUCGCGCGCGCACGCCGGGCCCACCAAACUUGCAGCACUUUCUCCCAGCCCCCACCCGCUGUCACCCUCCCCUCAUCCGCGCACCCCGGUCCCGCCAGCCGGGCCGAGGUUGCCAUAACAACGAGCUGGAAUGCUCCAACAUAUACAAAGCCGGCCCGGCGCGGCGGGCACUCAGCCCCCGGCCGGGCCCCGCGCCCUCGGCUGCCGCGCGGGGGCAGGACGCGCGCCGCGGCUCCCCGGCCGGCCGCGCGGCGCACCGGGCGGACUCACAAUGAGCGGGAUGGUGCGGUCCUCGCGGAGCUGCUCCGGCCUCCCGCCGGCCCUCGGCGCGCCCCGGCCGCCGGAGGAUGCUGCGUGGGCUCGGUUGUCCUGCCAUAAGUAGUAGAAAGUGCCCAGGAUCCAGGCUACGGUCAGGAUGGCGAUAGCAUUGGCGCGGAUUUUCCUCAUGGUGGGCGGACGGGCGCCCCGGCUGGGGGCCGGGCCGGCUGCUCUCCGGGCCGGGGCGGGGGCGCUCGCAGCCCCAGCUGUUUGUUUGCGCUCGCGCCUGGCUGCUCAGUCCUGCAGAGCAGAAAAAGGAGCGAGGUGGGGGGGGGUGGGGGUGAUAGGGAGAGACAGGAUCGCCGAGCGAUCCUCACGGUCCUAAUGCCCUUCAGCCCCGAGCGCGCGCGUCCCCCGGGCGCCCAUUCAUUCACGCGCACAGCCCGCCCUGCGCUCCAGCCGCUGCCGGCCGCUGCGCACCGGGAGAGGAGCGCGCGGGCCUGCCUCUGGUGCCCGGGGCCCCAGCCGAGACCGACGCCCGCGGCGGAAUGGCGACGGGCCAGAGCCAGCCUUGGCUCCCAGCGCCCAGGGCACCGAGAGCCCGGCGGCUGCCCCCGCGCGGCCCUGCUCGGUCCCGCCUACCCAGACUCACCCCGGGACCGAGCGGCCCUGAGUCACCGGCUGGAGAUGCGCGACCCCCGGCCUGGGCCCGCCCCGUGGAGCUGCAGUUCCGGGCCGCGCUCUGAACUGCGCUCUGGCGCGGGGUUCAAGAUGAUUCUCCCCACGAUGCCUGGCUAAUGAGUGGACAGAGCCCGGUGUCCAAGCUAUCGCCCAUCUGACACUUUCCAACGAAGUGCAGAACGCGGUGGGAAGAGACCAGGACCCAGACGCCGCUGAGUUUGCGCCCCGUUAAGAAUCGGCUGGGAACUACUCCGGAUCCGGGCAGAAGGCACGGUGGGCUGGACUCCUCACCGGCACAGGGCUGGGCACAGAGCAACAGAUGUGAAAUAAGCAGGAAGUCGGCGGGGUGGGGGGAGAAUAUUGCAAGGUGGUCUUUUGGGAGGCUUCUCAGAGAAAGUGGAUAAAUCCUUUGACUAAAUCCCCAAGGGGCAGGGAAGGGGGAGGGGAGGGGUUAGGGUGCGGGCUGCAGCAGUCAUGGGAGCAGAGGUCCAGGACAUGGAACUGCUGGAUGAGCUCUGAGAGAGGGCUGUCCGGCACUGCACGGGAGCCAGGAUGCUGGAAGGGUUUGGUGGGAGUUGGCAUUGGCUGUUGGGGGCCCCUCUGGACUCAGGAGGGCCUCGAAUGCCAGGGGCAGAGGUGGCAGCAGAGUUGCUUCCUGCUCGGACUGGUGGACACUGCAUCUGAAGACACAGAUAGGGUCCCGUCUCCACAUGAAGCCGCUUUAGGCACUGAUUCCCUCUCCCUCCUCCGCCCCCAUCCUUACACUAGGGGCACACAAGUGAAAUCAGACAGUGUUUUCCGUUUUUUUCAGCACCAGGACUGAGCAUGCCUGUAAUGGAUGUUCCCUGUACAUUUCAGGUGAAGGGAAGACAACUCGGCAUUUUGAUGCCGGAAGCCGGGUCACAGCUGCAACUAUGAUUCCCCUCUCAUCACAAGGAUGCCUAAGUGCACCCGAAGUGGCCCAGCCAGCAAUGUGGACCUCCAAAGACAGGAUGUGGAAAAGGGGGUCCUGCAGAGGGCCUAGCAAGGCAGCUGAGGGCCGGCAUCGUGACAACAUAUCCUGUGACCAUGUAGCGUCCCCUUUCCACAGAUGGUGAGACCGAUGCCUGUGGGGGUC
rnacentral:lncRNA from 1 species